GCCUGGGUAGCUCAGUCGGUUGAGCAUCAGACUUCGCCUCAGGUCAUAAUCUCACAGUUUGUGGGUUCGAGCCCCACCUCGUGCU
rnacentral:tRNA from 1 species